rnacentral:lncRNA from 1 species
CCUCCCCACCAGGCUGGAACCCAUAUGCCGGCUGGGGCCUGCCUUCGUACUCUCCCUCUGGAUGUCCCCCGCCAGGAUUGAACCCGACAGCUGGUCCGGGUCGGUGCGCGGGUCGGGCGUAGUGUGUGUACUCGUCUUCGAGAGCCUCGUCGGCGUAGGCGGAGGGCUCGGAGUACGACGAGAACUGGGGGCGCUCGUAAUCGAAAUCAUCAGACGGCGAUGAGUUGGGGUAGCAGGUCUCAUCGGACGGGUCGAGAGGGCGGCCGAAGGUCAGGUAAAUGUCGUAUCCCCCGCCGUAGGGCGUCGGAUCGUACUCAUCGAAGUCAGUGGCUUCAUCCCCGGCGUGCGUGUAGUACGGCAUCGUUUAGAUCUUG